CCACGGGCUUUUCAAAAAUAGAGGCGAAAUUAGAUUUAAAUACACUAGAGUGUCCCCAAGCACUGACUCCAUAUAUGGAUAUAGUUAUAUAUGGAGUCAAAGCAAGGACUUCUAAGCUGAACUAGAGUCCUGCCACCCUCCCCUCUUCAGAGUAGGGGGUGCCUGGGGUUCUCCCA